rnacentral:rRNA from 1 species
UACUAAGCGGAGGAAAAGAAACUAACUAGGAUUCCCUUAGUAGCGGCGAGCGAACAGGGAAAAGCCCAGCACCGAAUCCCGCUGUCGGAAACGGCGGCCGGGAAAUGUGGUGUUUGGAAGGGUCCGUUAUCCCGAGAAUAAGCAGCGCGUCCAAGUCCAUCUUGAACGGGGCCAUUACCCAUAGAGGGUGCCAGGCCCGUAGCGACCGCUGCUGUUUUCGGGAGGAUCUCUUCCGAGAGUCGGGUUGCUUGAGAGUGCAGCCCUAAGUGGGUGGUAAACUCCAUCUAAGGCUAAAUAUAACCACGAGACCGAUAGCGAACAAGUACCGUGAGGGAAAGUUGAAAAGAACUUUGAAGAGAGAGUUCAAUAGUACGUGAAACCGUUCAGGGGUAAACCUGAGAAACCCGAAAGUUCGAAAGGGGAGAUUCAUUCGCGUUUCGAAGUACGGCGUAAUGCGGUGCGACGAACGACGUUCGCGUCGUUCGCGUUUUCCGCGUGACGAUCCGCGAUCGAACGCGUGCACUUCUCCCCUAGUAGGACGUCGCGAUCCGUUGGGUGUCGGUCUAGGGCCCGCGGUGGAGCCCGCGAGCACGGUUCGCCGUUGUUCGCGGACCCGCGGUGUUUCCCGGCCGACUCGCUCGACGGUCUAACAACGACGUGAGGCCGCGAUUUAUUCGCGUUCGACUAGCGGCAAGCUCGUCUUUCGAAUCGGUGAUCGGACCUAGCGCCGAUCCCGAUCGGCGGCGGCUGUGGCCGUUAUGUUCUCGAACAGACCUCGUACGUCGAUCGGCGACGCUAUAGCUUUGGGUACUUUCAGGACCCGUCUUGAAACACGGACCAAGGAGUCUAGCAUGUGCGCGAGUCAUUGGGACACGACUAAACCUAAAGGCGUAAUGAAAGUAAAAGUCGGCCUAGCGCCGACCGAGGGAAGAUGGGCGAUCGUUCGCGGUCGCCCCGCACUCCCGGGGCGUCUCGUUCUCAUUGCGAGAAGAGGCGCACCAAGAGCGUACACGCUGGGACCCGAAAGAUGGUGAACUAUGCCUGGUCAGGACGAAGUCAGGGGAAACCCUGAUGGAGGUCCGUAGCGAUUCUGACGUGCAAAUCGAUCGUCGGAACUGGGUAUAGGGGCGAAAGACCAAUCGAACUAUCUAGUAGCUGGUUCCCUCCGAAGUUUCCCUCAGGAUAGCUGGCGCUCGUAGCAUACGAGUCUCAUCCGGUAAAGCGAAUGAUUAGAGGCAUUGGGGUCGAAACGACCUCAACCUAUUCUCAAACUUUAAAUGGGUGAGAUCUCCGGCUUGCUCGAACUUGAAGCCGCGAGAUAUCGGAUCAGAGUGCCAAGUGGGCCAUUUUUGGUAAGCAGAACGGCGCUGUGGAUCCGAAGUUUCCCUCAGGAUAGCUGGCGCUCGUAGCAUACGAGUCUCAUCCGGUAAAGCGAAUGAUUAGAGGCAUUGGGGUCGAAACGACCUCAACCUAUUCUCAAACUUUAAAUGGGUGAGAUCUCCGGCUUGCUCGAACUUGAAGCCGCGAGAUAUCGGAUCAGAGUGCCAAGUGGGCCAUUUUUGGUAAGCAGAACUGGCGCUGUGGGAUGAACCAAACGCCGAGUUAAAGCGCCUAAAUCGACGCUUAUGGGAUACCAUGAAAGGCGUUGGUAACUUAAGACAGCAGGACGGUGGCCAUGGAAGUCGGAAUCCGCCAAGGAGUGUGUAACAACUCACCUGCCGAAGUUACUAGCCCUGAAAAUGGAUGGCGCUGAAGCGUCGUGCUUAUACUCGGCCGUCAGCGGCAUGUGCGAUCGUCUCGAACGGUCAUGAAGCCCUGACGAGUAGGAGGGUCGCGGCGGUGUGCGCAGAAGGGCUGGCCGUGAGGCCGUCUGGAGCCGCCGUCGGUGCAGAUCUUGGUGGUAGUAGCAAAUACUCCGGCGAGGACCUGGAGGACUAACGUGGAGAAGGGUUUCGUGUGAACAGCCGUUGCACACGAGUCAGUCGAUCCUAAGCCCUAGGCGAAAGCCGAUGUUGAUGCGGUGUUGUUUCAUUUGAAAAAAUUUAUUUUUAAUUAAAUAGACGCACCCGUUGGGCGAAAGGGAAUCCGGUUCCUAUUCCGGAACCCGGCAGCGGAACCGUCUCCAAAUCGGGCCCUCGCAAGAGAGUUCGUCGGGGCAACCCAACAUGACCCGGAGACGCCGUCGGGAGAUCCGGGAAGAGUUUUCUUUUCUGCAUGAGCGUUCGAGUUCCAUGGAAUCCUCUAGCAGGGAGAUAUGGUUUGGAACGCGAAGAGCACCGCAGUUGCGGCGGUGUCCGGAUCUUCCCCUCGGACCUUGAAAAUCCGGGAGAGGGCCACGUGGAAAUGUCGCGCCGGCUCGUACCCAUAUCCGCAGCAGGUCUCCAAGGUAAGAGCCUCUAGUCGAUAGAUAUGAG